GCCCAGAUAACUUAGUCGGCAAAGCAUCAGACUUUUAAUAUGAGGGUCCAGGGUUCCUGUCCCUGUUUGGGCG
rnacentral:tRNA from 1 species